rnacentral:rRNA from 1 species
GCCUACGGGGGGCAGCAGUCGGGAAUAUUGCGCAAUGGAGGAAACUCUGACGCAGUGACGCCGCGUAUAGGAAGAAGGUUUUCGGAUUGUAAACUAUUGUCCACAGGGAAGAAAAAAGACUGUACCUGUGAAGAAAGCUCCGGCUAACUACGUGCCAGCAGCCGCGGUAAUACGUAGGGAGCAAGCGUUAUCCGGAUUUAUUGGGUGUAAAGGGUGCGUAGACGGGAUUACAAGUUGGUUGUGAAACCCCUCAGCUCAACUGAGGAACUGCAACCAAAACUAUAAUUCUUGAGUGCAGGAGAGGA